rnacentral:rRNA from 1 species
GAGGGGGUCGCGGCCGAUUAGUUAGUUGGCGGGGUAAUGGCCCACCAAGACGAUGAUCGGUAUCCGGCCUGAGAGGGCGCACGGACACACUGGAACUGAAACACGGUCCAGACUCCUACGGGAGGCAGCAGUGGGGAAUUUUGCGCAAUGGGGGAAGCCCUGACGCAGCAACGCCGCGUGGAGGAUGAAGUCCUUCGGGACGUAAACUCCUUUCGAUCGGGACGAUUAUGACGGUACCGAGAGAAGAAGCCCCGGCUAACUUCGUGCCAGCAGCCGCGGUAAUACGAGGGGGGCGAGCGUUGUUCGGAAUUAUUGGGCGUAAAGGGUGCGUAGGCGGUUUGGUAAGUCUUGUGUGAAAUCUAUGGGCUCAACUCAUAGUCUGCACGAGAAACUGCCGGGCUUGAGUGUGGGAGAGGUGAGUGGAAUUUCCGGUGUAGCGGUGAAAUGCGUAGAUAUCGGAAGG